rnacentral:rRNA from 1 species
CAUGCAAGUCGAGCGAGAAAGUGACUUCGGUCGCGAGUAAAGCGGCGAACGGGUGAGUACAACGUGGAUAAUCUACCCUAAGGUCCGGGACAACCCCGAGAAAUCGGAGCUAAUACCGGAUAAGACCACAGUAUCCAAGGAUACAGCGGUAAAAGAUUUAUCGCCUUUGGAUGAGUCCACGUCCCAUCAGGUAGUUGGUAAGGUAAAAGCUUACCAAGCCUAAGACGGGUAGCCGGCCUUAGCGGGUGAACGGCCACAUGGGGACUGAGACACGGCCCUGACUCCUACGGGAGGCAGCAGUGGGGAAUAUUGGGCAAUGGGCGAAAGCCUGAGCCAGCGAUGCCGCGUGAGGGAUGAAGGCCUUCGGGUCGUAAACCUCUGUCAGGAGGGACGAUGGGACACUCGUGUCUUGACGGUACCUCCAGAGGAAGCCCCGGCUAACUCCGUGCCAGCAGCCGCGGUAAUACGGAGGGGGCAAGCGUUGCUCGGAAUUACUGGGCGUAAAGGGUCCGCAGGCUGUCAGGCAAGUUGGUUGUGAAAGCUCAAGGCUUAACCUUGGAAUUGCAUCCAAAACUGCCUGACUAGAGUCCAAGAGAGGUUGGCGGAAUUCCCGGUGUAGCGGUGAAAUGCAUAGAUAUCGGGAGGAACACCAGAGGCGAAGGCGGCCAACUGGCUUGGAACUGACG